UCUUCUCCCGUUUCUCCCGUUACUUUGAACCACCUCCCUCAUCCUCCUAAAUCUUCAACCUCCCAUUUCCUUUCAUCUUUUUUCAAAUCAGUAAACCCAAAAGCUUGAUAAAGGUCUUCAAACCCAUUUUUAAACUUUGCAUGUCUCAAUUUGUAACUAAUCAACUUCAACAGCGAAGGAUGAUAACCCAAAAUAGAAGAACUUGGGUCAAGGUGACAAUUCAAGCAAAAGGGGAGCUCAGCAACCAAGUUAAUCAGAACAUCAUCUUCUUCCUUGUCACAACCUGUGAGUUAUUUUUAUUAAAGAUUUUUAGUUUUUAUUUUUUUUUUAUUUUGUUAAGAAUAGGAAUUUAACUUUCUGAAAUUGAAAAUAAAUCAGACGUGCGUAUUGUUGUUUAUGGGUAUGAUAUUUGUGAAUGAAUUAUAUAUAUUAGAAAGAAAAAAAAAAUUUAAUUACUCGUGUCUGAUUAGAUUUAAGGUGAUUAUGCUUGUCGAGCACGAUUUAUGCUCGUUACUGCUGUUGUCUCUAAUGUGUUUGUGAAAUUGUGUUAUGUUAUGUUAAUUUCUUUUAGUACGAGGAUUUUAUGGGUUGAAAUUUUUGAAUAAAUUAUUUUACGUUAAUACGGGUUAGGAGAAUUAGAGUAUGAUGAAAUGAAAUUUUUGCAUAUAAGUGUUUUUAAAAUUUCAUCAAAAUGAUUUUUCAUGACUUUUAUGUUGAUUAUUAAAUUCAUGACUUUUAUAUGUUUAUUAUUUUUCCAUGACUUGAUGUUGUUACUAUUUUCAUGACUCGGAUGUUGUUUAUAUUUUUGACUAGGAUUUCCGUUUUGAAUUAAGGACUUAGGAUUAAAUUAUUAUGAGUUUAGUAUGUCGCCUAAAGUUAUAUAUAAUUGUUAUGGAUGAAUGAUGCAUUUUAUAUAUGACAUAAUAAGGGCAUUUUAUACAAAACAUUUCAAGUUUUGUACAAUAUCAUUAAUCAGAUCAUGUGAGGUCAUGCAUAUGUUGUUCAGAAUUAUAUAUAUAUAUAUAUAUAUAUAUAUAUAAUAUAUAUAUAUAUAUAUAUAUAUAUAUAUAUAUAUAUAUAUAUAUAUAUAUAAAUAGACAAGUAUAAUAAUAAUAAUCAUAAUGAUUGUUUUUUUCUUCUUCUUGAGAUGUAUAACUACUUUUGUAUGUUUUAUACACUUUUAUAAAAGAAACUCUUUGAGAUUGUUUUCCUCUUAUUUAUAGAGCUCACUGAGAUAUUUUAUCUCAUCCAAAUUAUUAUUAUUUUUUUAGCAGCUGGAGGAACAUGAGUCAUGGAUAUUAGCAUCAGAAGAUCAGUUCCAAACUCCUAGACUUAGAAUUUGAUCUUUUGUUAUAUGAUGUAAUCAGACAAUCGCAGUUUGUUUUCAAGAUGUAAUAUUUUAUGAAUCUACUAAACAUGUUGUAAACUAUAUUUCUGAAUGUAGUUUUCAGUUAUGAUGGUGAUUCUAAUUUAUUAUUCAUUGUUAAUUACCUCUGUUUUAUUAAGGUGUAAGGGU
rnacentral:lncRNA from 1 species